rnacentral:lncRNA from 1 species
AAGUUAAUGAAAUAUGAGCAGCACGAUCGAGUCUUGUUAUUUGUCUUCUCUCAAGAGCAAAAGUACUGGCAAGUUAUCUUCUUCUUAUAAUUGAGUUAGUGAUAUUAUAUUAUUGAAUUUAUUUCUUGUUCCCACGAAUAUUUUUAUGUGCGUAAAAUGUCUCCUCUCGUGUUAUGUUGGUAUGAACCAAAUCACUUCAUACGUGUUCUUUCGCCGUUUUUUAUUUUUAUUUAUUUUUAAUUUUUUUGUAAGCUCCUUAAUUCUAUCAUUGAUUAAGCAUACACCAGGGAGGUGAACGCCCAAACCAGUACAAAAGUAUUCAGUAUCAGAACCACAGAGUUCAACCAGUUCCAGCCAUCUAACUAACUGAAAAGACAGAAAAAUUCACUGUCAAUGCAUUAUGCAGAAUGCACAUAUAUUCUCCUGCAUCUUCUGGUGCACCCCUCUCCGUUCAGCAGCAACAACCAUGCAAACAUCUCCAAUGAUCGAUCUGCCAUAUAUG